rnacentral:rRNA from 1 species
CCUACGGGCGGCUGCAGUAGGGAAUCUUCCACAAUGGGCGAAAGCCUGAUGGAGCAACGCAGCGUGGGUGAAGAAGGUCUUCGGAUCGUAAAACCCUGUUUUUAGAGAAGAAAGUGCGUGAGAGUAACUGUUCACGUUUCGACGGUAUCUAACCAGAAAGCCACGGCUAACGACGUGCCAGCAGCCGCGGUAAUACGUAGGUGGCUAGCGUUAUCCGGAUUUAUUGGGCGUAAGGGGAACGCAGGCGGUCUUUUAAGUCUGAUGUGAAAGGCUUCGGCUUAACCGGAGGAGUGCAUUGGAAACUGGGAACCUUGAGUGCAGAAGAGGCAAGCGGAACUCGAGGUGUAGCGGUGAAAUGCGUAGAUAUAUGGAAGAACACCAGUGGCGAAAGCGGCUCUCUGGUCUGUAACUGACGCUGAGGUUCGAAAGCGUGGGUAGCAAACAGGAUUAGAUACCCUAGUAGUC